AGAACAGAUAUUGGAAUUUCCACUUUCUGUUUUAAAUUGAAAACUAUUUUUUUGUAAUCGAUAUGUCGUUUGUAAAAAAAAAAUCGCUUCCUAAAUGACUUAAAUAAGCUCCUUAAAUGGAUUUGAAGUUUGAUAUAGAGGAGAUAAAGUCAUGUACACUGCGCAUUGAAGAAAGGGUCAAUGAGCUUUCAACGCAGUCGCCGAAAUGUCAAAGUUGCUGCAAAGUAAUUCAACUUCGAACAGCCAUACAAAAUAUUGGUUCACGUCUUGACAACCUUGCGAGUACAUCAGAGGCAGAUGUCAAUCCAUACGAACAUAGAUUCAAAAAGAUACAAGAGCAGAUAACAGAACUCAAGGAGCGGAUUCUUGUAUGUCAACCUGACCAGGACAGAUUAGACGAUGUACUAGCGGCGCAUAGGGCUUCGACAAAACGAGGAACAAGAUUUGUGGAAACCGAUAGUGCGAAUACUUCAACACACGACGGAUCAUCUAGAUUAUCGACAAGCGAAUCAUCGUUGCCUUGUACGACUAAGGCAUCUACCGACGAUAAAGCAACCUCGAACAUUCCAAAUGGUGUGAACAGUUCGCAAAGUGAAACUACAGACACCAUCGAGGCACGUGAUCCACACCGGUCUGACAGUCAAAUGGCUACAAUGCGGACGCGAAGGGUCACUUUUUUAGAGCCUCUUGCAAGUCAUACUGUAAGACAGACUACCAACAAUUUUCUGAGGAUGGACAUCUGGAAGGCAUUGGCACAAAGACAUCUUGAUGCUGCACUUCAGUCAACUGGAGAUCUUGAGUGUGUUGUGUCAGUGCUGUUACUGGACAUAUCAGAGAGCAUGGCGACAGGAGAGGCGUGGAAACAAACCAAAACAUUUGUCAAAGACUUUCUUAAAGGGUUAAAAGAAGUUAAAUCGAUUGGCGAUGAGCAUUUGAAAGACGAAUAUGUUUCUGUUGCAACGUAUGGACACGAAACUAAGUUACAGAUGCCAUUGACAUCCAACUAUGAUUCAGUUCAAGAAUUUGUUGAUCGUUUGACGCUGGGUGGUCCAAGUCCACUGUAUGGGGGACUAUGGAUGGGGCUAGCCGGAGCGAUGUCAUGUAAAAAGGGGCGGUUCAAGAAUAACGGAAUAAUAAUUCAUCCGAAAAUCAUCGUACUUUCCGACUGCCGACCGACGGAGACUCUGCUGAUUGAAGGUCCCGAUGAUCCAGACAUGGAAAAGACUGACGAGACGUUAGUCAACGUUAUGUCAGCCUUGGAUCAUCUAGAUCGAAGGGGAAUAUCUGUGUUCGUUGUGCCGGUUGGAGACUAUGACCAGGAAUUUGUGAACAUAAUAAAGCCUGCUGGUCGGAGAUUGUACAAACACACGGAAGGACGCAGACUCGCACGACGCAAUUACAUUUCUGCUAAAACAGAUUUGAUCGGGUUCAGGUCGCUGUUCACAGACACGUUCUCGCUUGAAGAUAUGGAGGACAUGCAUGAGAUUCGUAUGGAAUCUUGGCUUGGACUUUCACUUGACCAAGCAGACAGGAGCACUGUGUACAAAGAAAGUACCAGCAAAAUGUUUCCCCCGAUUGGUUCCCGCGUCCGGAGAGGCCCGGACUGGCACUGGAAAGACCAAGAUCACGGCGGGCCGGGCACCGUUGUGGGACAUGCAGAGGAUUAAUCCAGAGUGUGGGUUACAUGGGACGCAGAUGGUGACACCAACGUGUACCACUACGGAGAUGGUAGUUAUGACGUGUUGGUUACCGACGAACCUCGAACAUUGAAACCAGGAGAGAAAAUCGGUGUCGGUUGUUUAGUUAAACCAGGAAAAGACGGCAAGUCUCAGACGAUCCAUGAUUCGAACAAUGGUGUUGUUAUACGCGUAGAACCACCAAAGGCUCAUGUCCGAUGGGACAGCGGCUCUCGUGGUGACUACAGGUACGGAGAGGAUGGACUAUUUGAAAUAGAACUGUGUCCACAACAACCAGAAUGCAAAUCAAGUAGCUCGGAUUCGGUUUCAACCCAGAUGGCUGCAACAUCGAGACCUAAAC